rnacentral:rRNA from 3 species
AGACCCGAAACCCGGUGAUCUAGCCAUGGGCAGGUUGAAGGUUGGGUAACACUAACUGGAGGACCGAACCGACUAAUGUUGAAAAAUUAGCGGAUGACCUGUGGCUGGGGGUGAAAGGCCAAUCAAACCGGGAGAUAGCUGGUUCUCCCCGAAAGCUAUUUAGGUAGCGCCUCGUGAAUUCAUCUCCGGGGGUAGAGCACUGUUUCGGCUAGGGGGCCAUCCCGGCUUACCAACCCGAUGCAAACUGCGAAUACCGGAGAAUGUUAUCACGGGAGACACACGGCGGGUGCUAACGUCCGUCGUGAAGAGGGAAACAACCCAGACCGCCAGCUAAGGUCCCAAAGUCAUGGUUAAGUGGGAAACGAUGUGGGAAGGCCCAGACAGCCAGGAUGUUGGCUUAGAAGCAGCCAUCAUUUAAAGAAAGCGUAAUAGCUCACUGGUCGAGUCGGCCUGCGCGGAAGAUGUAACGGGGCUAAACCAUGCACCGAAGCUGCGGCAGCGAACGUAUCACCCAAGACAACUUUACGGAGUUGACGAUUGACGGAGCGAAGCGACGUCAAAGCGUUCAUUAAAGUCGAGUUGGCUUAGGGAUACGUUCGUUGGGUAGGGGAGCGUUCUGUAAGCCUGUGAAGGUGUGUCGUGAGGCAUGCUGGAGGUAUCAGAAGUGCGAAUGCUGACAUAAGUAACGAUAAAGCGGGUGAAAAGCCCGCUCGCCGGAAGACCAAGGGUUCCUGUCCAACGUUAAUCGGGGCAGGGUGAGUCGACCCCUAAGGCGAGGCCGAAAGGCGUAGUCGAUGGGAAACGGGUUAAUAUUCCCGUACUUGGUGUUACUGCGAAGGGGGGACGGAGAAGGCUAUGUUGGCCGGGCGACGGUUGUCCCGGUUUAAGCGUGUAGGUGUGUGUUCCAGGUAAAUCCGGUUCACUUUAACACUGAGGCGUGACGACGAGGCACUACGGUGCUGAAGCAACAAAUGCCCUGCUUCCAGGAAAAGCCUCUAAGCAUCAGGUAAC